rnacentral:rRNA from 1 species
CCUACGGGAGGCAGCAGUGAGGAAUAUUGGUCAAUGGUCGGGAGACUGAACCAGCCAAGCCGCGUGAGGGAUGAAGGUACAGCGUAUCGUAAACCUCUUUUGUCAGGGAACAAAGGCGGGGACGUGUCCCCGGCUGAGUGUACCUGAAGAAAAAGCAUCGGCUAACUCCGUGCCAGCAGCCGCGGUAAUACGGAGGAUGCGAGCGUUAUCCGGAUUUAUUGGGUUUUAAGGGUGCGCAGGCGGGCUGUUAAGUCAGCGGUCAAAGCCCGGGGCUCAACCCCGGCCCGCCGUUGAAACUGGCAGUCUCGAGUUGGAGAGAAGUAGGCGGAAUGCGCGGUGUAGCGGUGAAAUGCAUAGAUAUCGCGCAGAACUCCGAUUGCGAAGGCAGCAUGCCGGCUCCACACUGACGCUGAGGCACGAAAGCGUGGGUAUCGAACAGGAUUAGAUACCCUUGUAGUC